ensembl:lncRNA
CAGACAUUGUUUAGUGUGCUCGGGGACAUUUCUAACAGCAGCUGUGGUUAUGAACAAUUUUGGGAAGCUACUACAGCAACUCAACUGAACGUAAAGGGCGCUAAUGGCUCUCAGUCCUCCGAAUGUCAGCCCCACUGGUUUUCAAGGGCACCGUACUGAUGGGGAUUUGGUUAACGGGAGGGGAGGGGGCCUUCGGUGCGGCUCAUGACGUCACCGUGUCCCGACGUAAUCCUCUCGCGCUAGAGUCCUAUCAGCAGAGGAGGGCGAGCGCGCGGGGACGCGAGGAAGCACUAAUCUCUCCAGAAUGGAUCAGCGUAACCGAGACGCAAACGAGGCCAUUUAACACUACAGCAGAAGAUGAUUACGAUUAAAAACGGGAUACAAUCGGUGUGUUUCGGCGGUAAACGACAGGCGUGAUCUCAUUGCUCGCUGCGGGAUGCAGGAGGGAUACGACGGCAGCUCAAAAGAUGCUCGACGGAGAAAAUAAAGCAUCGUGUUUACGGGGGACUUUAGUGGUGUUUCAGUCAAUUUGCUUUGGCGGUGAUAUUAUUUUGAAUAAGGUUGGUCGACAGCUUUUUGUAAAAUAGUUGAUCGUGUAUUCUGAGAAAGUGUUUUGUUUACACUUGAUGUAGUCUGAGGGAUGCACUACUGCAGAGGUCAGCAAAAUGAGUGAGAAUCAUAACAAUGCGCGCCCUUCGGAGGGAUACCUUCUUCAUUGCUUCCGUUCUAUCGCCCGCAAUGCAAUUCCUUGAUCUAUACGAUACCGAUUUAUUCAUGAUAUGCUAUAUUUGGCCAUUGACAUUCUUUUUGAAUUCCUAAUCGUACUGCCACUGAGGCACACAAAUCCCAGAGACCCAAAAGAAGGAGGACAAUAGCUGUGGCUGCUUGCAUUGAGGCUGCAGAAUCAUAUAAAGAGCAGCUCUUAAAGGGAGUGAAUAUAGGCCACUGGUUGGCCUGCUCUGCGCAAUAUAUGCGUUGGUAUUUGACUGUCUUUAACGCGAAACUGAAAUAGGAAACAAUGUACAAACACUAUUGUGAUUGUAAUUUUGACGUUUUGUCGUCGGCGUGUUGUCAAAACGCAUUACGACAUCCCUCUUUGCGGUACUCUUUGAAGAGCAGCCUGCUCUGGCGUGCGCGCGUCAUGGAGGGUGGUGACACGGGCCCGCCACUCUGCGUGUUCACGGCGGACCUUGAUUUAAUAUCCAUACAAUUAAGGCACGCGGUGAAUGCCAAGAGAGGGGCCUUACAACGGCGAACCUGUAUCGUUAAGGAAAAUGAGCAGCAGAGAUGCGCAGAUCCGGAGUGAAGGCUAGUAAAGCCAAAGAGCUGAACAGGAACUGAGGCCGCUUGGUUUGCAGGCGCAUGAUAGGAAUAUUAAUUUCGGGAGCUGACAGGAAUGUGAAAUUCCUCUUCUAAUUAGUCUAUUUCUACUGUUAUAUGAGGUCAUUUUCAUAUAGCCUAUUAAUAAUAAUAAAAUAGAUUUAAGACUAUUUAGUAGAUGCUUAAAUUCCAUAAUUUUAUCAAGCCAUGGAGUGUAAACAACAAAGAAUAUUAUAGGGAUUUGGUAAAAUAGUCACUACACUGCUUGAAGAAACCUUGAGCAAAUAUUUAAAAUGUUAGACAUGAAUGUUUUUUGUGUCCAAAUGAAAUCUGGUUUCCAUUGCAAAACUGAAGACGCAGAAAAACCGAAGACAGAAGGUGAACAGUAUAUCCUGAAAAGAAUGGCUGAUCAAACAUUACCUACAUUAUCAUGUUCUGUGAUCACCAUUUGGUCUUGUAUUGGUAAUCGUUUAAAAACAAUUGGCAAUUGUCUUUGAUUUCUAAUGUGUAUUGAGUGUAUACUUGUAUAAAUACUGCAUUCAACUGAAAUAUAUGGAUUUGUUUAGAAAAAAAUAAAAUACGUCAGGAGGACAUUAUUGUAUACAAUACAUAAGACUUACUGUUUUCAAAUAUCAAAACUGUCCAAUCUUUUAAUCCGCACAGAGCAUCCUCUGCCAAGACCUGUCACUUCUUUCCACACUUUCUUUGUUUACCUGUCAAUAAACCCUCAUUUCAUGCAAAUCUGUUGCCUGCCUAGAAAUCUUGCUUCAUGUUUUUAUUUUUGGCCAGAACUCUGCUUCUGUUAUCUAGAUGAGUAGAACAAGAUGGCAGCCAAUCAGUACAGAUGGCCGUGUACGCAGUUAUCUAGAUUCAACUCUCAUACAAGAGCGAUAGCAUUAUAUUAUGAGUUGUUUCAGUAAUAGAUUCAACACCUAUUUCAAUAUUUUUACAUGACCUCUAGGAAAUCAUACU